AGAGAUCCCAAUUCUGUGCAGCUUAAAAUGGUCAAACUUUAAAGCUUGGAGAGAUGUUGCUGGUCAUCAGGAAAAGAAGCCGGAUUUGAACAGUACAUAAUGGUUAGGCGCUCUAGCACUGGUGUGUUGCAUAGCUAUUGGCAAAGAAGUGAACCCAUUACAAUUCUCCAUGGAGUUUAACAGAAGUGAGCUCAAUCCUUCAACGCA
rnacentral:misc_RNA from 1 species